GACGAACGCUGGCGGCGCGCCUAACACAUGCAAGUCGAACGGACUUUGCGGGGCUUGCUCUGCAAAGUUAGUGGCGAACGGGUGAGUAACACGUGAGCAACCUGCCUUUUGGAGGGGGACAACGGCCGGAAACGGCCGCUAAUACCGCAUAAUACAGCGAGUGGGCAUCCACAUGCUGUCAAAGAUUUAUCGCCAAAAGAUGGGCUCGCGCCUGAUUAGAUAGUUGGUGGGGUAACGGCUCACCAAGUCGACGAUCAGUAGCCGGACUGAGAGGUUGAACGGCCACAUUGGGACUGAGACACGGCCCAGACUCCUACGGGAGGCAGCAGUGGGGGAUAUUGGUCAAUGGGGGAAACCCUGAACCAGCGACGCCGCGUGAGGGAAGAAGGUUUUCGGAUUGUAAACCUCUGUCAGCGGGGAAGAAAAUGACGGUACCCGCGGAGGAAGCCACGGCUAACUACGUGCCAGCAGCCGCGGUAAUACGUAGGUGGCGAGCGUUGUCCGGAAUUACUGGGUGUAAAGGGAGUGUAGGCGGGACGGCAAGUCAGGCGUGAAAUAUAUGGGCUCAACUCAUAAACUGCGCUUGAAACUGCCAUUCUUGAGUGAAGUAGAGGCUGGCGGAAUUCCAUGUGCACUAGGUGUGGGGGGAUUGAACCCUUCCGUGCCGGAGCUAACGCAAUAAGUGAACCACCUGGGGAGUACGUGCGCAAGCAUGAAACUCAAAGGAAUUGACGGGGGCCCGCACAAGCAGUGGAGUAUGUGGUUUAAUUCGAUGCAACGCGAAGAACCUUACCGGGGCUUGACAUGGAGGCGACAGGUACAGAGAUGUACCCUUCUUCGGACGCCUCACACAGGUGGUGCAUGGUUGUCGUCAGCUCGUGUCGUGAGAUGUUGGGUUAAGUCCCGCAACGAGCGCAACCCUUAUCAUUAGUUGCUACAUUUAGUUGAGCACUCUAAUGAGACUGCCGUUGACAAAACGGAGGAAGGUGGGGAUGAGGUCAAAUCAUCAUGCCCUUUAUGUCCCGGGCUACACACGUACUACAAUGGCGUUUAACAAUGAGGAGCGAAGGGGGGACCCGGAGCAAAUCUCCAAAAAGCGCCUCAGUUCAGAUUGCAGGCUGCAACUCGCCUGCAUGAAGUCGGAAUUGCUAGUAAUCGCGAAUCAGCAUGUCGCGGUGAAUACGUUCCCGGGCCUUGUACACACCGCCCGUCAAACCAUGAGAGUUGGCAACACCCGAAGCCCGUAGCCUAACCGUAAGGAGGGCGCGGUCGAAGGUGGGGUUGAUGAUUAGGGUU
rnacentral:rRNA from 1 species